rnacentral:snoRNA from 1 species
ACCGGGCUGGCAGGUUCUGAAACGUGAUGAAUGGGUUGUGCACAUGUUUGUGUGAAAUGUGCCGUCCUUUUAUGUUACGACGGGGCACAGUACUUGACUGAUG